rnacentral:rRNA from 1 species
UACGUAGGGGGCAAGCGUUAUCCGGAUUUACUGGGUGUAAAGGGAGCGUAGACGGCAAGGAAAGUCUGAUGUGAAAACCCAGGGCUUAACCCUGGGACUGCAUUGGAAACUGUCUGGCUCGAGUGCCGGAGAGGUAAGCGGAAUUCCUAGUGUAGCGGUGAAAUGCGUAGAUAUUAGGAAGAACACCAGUGGCGAAGGCGGCUUACUGGACGGUAACUGACGUUGAGGCUCGAAAGCGUGGGGAGCAAACAGG